rnacentral:rRNA from 1 species
GACAGAGGGGGCUAGCGUUGUUCGGAAUUACUGGGCGUAAAGGGCGCGUAGGCGGCUCGUUUAGUCGGGUGUGAAAUCCCGGGGCUCAACCCCGGAACUGCAUUCGAUACUGGCGGGCUAGAGACCGGAAGAGGUGGGUGGAAUACCCAGUGUAGAGGUGAAAUUCGUAGAUAUUGGGUGGAACACCGGUGGCGAAGGCGGCUCACUGGUCCGGUUCUGACGCUGAGGCGCGAAAGCGUGGGGAGCAAACAGG